rnacentral:misc_RNA from 1 species
GAUGGAUGACGGAUACGAGCCCAGAUGACGACGAAUAUGACCAAUCUGUUUUCUCUCAUCGGAUUGGAUCAUUUUGGGGACCGCCCCGACAAUUUUUAAAAGUCACCUGUAACUCUACUAAGGGACCAAGUCGGUGACCCGGCAUUUGACGUACAAGUAACCAAAAAGUCGGAUAUUUCGAUGGGGGAGGGAAAUACAUGGAUUCUGGCAUCUUGGACGUGCUCGUAUCGUGACAUGGAGAGAUUUGAAGAGUUUUCCGCGUCAGAAAAACUCCGAUAUUGCGUUUUCUACAAAUUCUUGGAAUGGACUACAGUUGGGGGGUGCCAUGAUGGUGCACUUGGGGAUACAUCGUGGAUCUGAGUGUUUGCAGGCCCAGGGAUAAUGGAUUUGGGAGUCGAAUACUUCAUUUAUGAGCUCAAUAGAUGCUCA